AGAUUAAGCAAGACAUGUGUGAGGUCAUGCCAAUUCUUGAAGGAAUCUGAACCCACAUUAUUCGGAACCCAGAGUCUAUUCUCUGAACCAACAUUUUCUGUCCUAAAUCAGGUAUUUCUUCAAGGAUGAACACGAGGACAGACACCCUUCCAUUCGAGUGGAUCCUUCUCACCGCUUCCACCUCUCUUUGGGUUCAUGAAGUCUUUCUCUCACCUCUCCGUGGAGUUGAGGCAGCGACUGUGAGGGUGAAUAGAGACUAGGUAAAGAAAGAAAGCCCUAAUGUUCCUGCACCUCCAGAGAAGGUGUGCUGGCUCCCAACCAGCUUUCCACACUCAGAGACCUAAAUCCUCUAAAGACUCAUUCUGGGAAGAUCUUGGCAUGAGGAUACAGCGGCUAUGCCUGAGCCGGGCCUUUGCAGACGUCUGUUUCCCUGGGAUCCCUCACCCUACCAUACCCCCUCACCAGCAUCAAGGACGUGGCUCCGGGAAGAGUGUGCUGGCUGUUUCUAUGGAGCCUGUUGCCUUUUUUCUCUCUCCUCAAGAAGAGCAAGGGAGUACUACAGAUGGUCCAAAAUAUGAUAACUCGGGGCCAACGGGCCUCCUUACUUUUGACCCAAGGCGGAACAAACUUCACACUGAACGACCAGGAGCUUUUUUCAACUCACCAAAUGAAUUUGUCAUCAUUGCGGCACGGUGGCCGGCAGCAAGUUCCUUAGGCCCUCGGGAGUGUUGCUUCAUGAACUGUGAGAGUCCAAACAGCUUUCUGAUAAAAGUCAUCUCCUCCUAGAGACAGUAGAUGGGGCACUUUUGGAAACAUUGUUUUUUGGAGCAGAGUGGGAUGUUUUGAUAGUCCAAUUAAAACACGUAUCAUAUGUUUUA